GAAUGUGAUUCUGUAGGACCCUAAAACUCAACUUCUUUCCUAUACUCCUCACACCCCAUCCCUGUCAGUGGUGCCUCCGAGACACCAGGAUGUUUCAUUCAGAGGCCAUCUGUUGAGUAAGUUUCAGUUGCCCAAGGUCAGCUGUGGUCCUGAAGCACAUGAUCCUCCUUCUGACACGGUGUCAGAAGGCCAGGAGUUGCCUAAUGGUACAUCGUGACGGCUGGUCCUUCACUUCACUUCAUCUCAUCACGUCACCAAAUGUUUCUAUUUAGACUGGUUUCAACUACUUAGGAAAGACCAUUCAUUAUGGAUUUCAGCUUCAACUGCUCAGAAUUAGUCAACAUAGAAAAGCCAAAUGACUCCAGAUGUACUUGGGAUAUUUUCUGGAAAUCAAAAUCCAAGGUAACUCCUGUGACCUGCAAUUAUUCAGGCCAUUAACAUUGUAGCUAUGGCUUCAUUUAUAGCUUAGUUCAAUAAUCUUCAUAAUGAUGAAGUGUGUCAUCAUU